GGACGGCGGGCGGGCGCGGGGCUCUGGUCUCCUGGUGGGGGAGGAGGGAUGGGGAUGACGCCAGGUCACUGGUGACCUGACGGUGCCGCAGCACCCGCUCCUCCCAUCCGCCGAGCUCUCCCCUCCAGGUCCUUGCCCCGCAGACGCGCGCUCUGAAACCGAUCCAGUCGCUGGGCCACUCUCGGUCCGACGCCAGCUGCGCUCCCGCACCGCCCUAGGUGCCGGGAUCUGGAGGAAAAAAAAAAAGACACACGAAGCCUGCUCCAACGCUCACACUCGAGUGUGCAUGUAUCAUGGUGGUGGCACUUUGCACGACAGCACACCAGGUGUUAGAGUGAGAUGUUCGCGUCUCGUGUGACCAGAGAGAUAUCGCCCUCCGCACCCUCGCGGCCCUAGACACGUCGUAGGCGCGUGAUAAAUGGCCCCGGGGUUUCCAGGAGAGACUUAGACUUCAUUAAAUCCAACCCCUCGCCCUGCAGUUGAGGAAACACUGACUUAACGUUCCUGGGUGGAGUGCGACUGCUGAUUUAGAGGCAGCGUUCAGAUGGCCAAGCAGGGUCUUAGUCCUUCACAAGAGAGGAUUUUCUCAUCUACCCACCCUGAUCGGAAGGCAAUGCUCCUUUAUAAAGUCAAUAAAAUUCCUCACUGCCAGCUCAAAGCGGGCCGGCCACCUAGGGCAACUCCCACGGGCACACUCUCCGGAACUGCUUAGAAACUGCCUUUGGGACAUGAGGUUGAUACGGAGGAAAACCAGCCUCACUCUGAGACUUCCUACAAACCUUACUGUUAAGCCGUUGGAUCUUACUCUAAUCAGUCAGCUACAGUCUACUAAGCGUUUGCCCCGGGGCUCAGCUGUUGUUUAGCCUCAUAUCACAAGAGGAACCGGAAGCCCAAGAUUCUAUCUUUUGCCACAGUCUUCCAGUGCAGUUUUGUUCUGUUUUAACAAAAGAUAUUUUCUGUCCCUGGACUUUGACUUAUUCUUCUGUAAGAGUUAAUAAUUUCCUAGUUACAGUCAGCUUUCCACAUCUGCCAAUUCCACAUCCAUGAAUUCAACCAAUAGCCCAAUAAAAAUAUGCAGACGGAAAUAAAAGGUAGUUCCAAAAAAAGCAAAAUUUGAAUUUUCCCGGGCGCAGAGUGAAAGACUUCCUCCAGAUGGACAUUUCAUGACCAAGGCUGCUUCAAGGGUG
ensembl:lncRNA